rnacentral:rRNA from 1 species
GCAGUCGAGCGACAGAAAGGAGCUUGCUCCUUUGACGUUAGCGGCGGACGGGUGAGUAACACGUGGGCAACCUACCCUAUAGUUUGGGAUAACUCCGGGAAACCGGGGCUAAUACCGAAUAAUCUCUUUUGCUUCAUGGUGAAAGACUGAAAGACGGUUUCGGCUGUCGCUAUAGGAUGGGCCCGCGGCGCAUUAGCUAGUUGGUGAGGUAACGGCUCACCAAGGCGACGAUGCGUAGCCGACCUGAGAGGGUGAUCGGCCACACUGGGACUGAGACACGGCCCAGACUCCUACGGGAGGCAGCAGUAGGGAAUCUUCCACAAUGGGCGAAAGCCUGAUGGAGCAACGCCGCGUGAGUGAAGAAGGUUUUCGGAUCGUAAAACUCUGUUGUAAGGGAAGAACAAGUACAGUAGUAACUGGCUGUACCUUGACGGUACCUUAUUAGAAAGCCACGGCUAACUACGUGCCAGCAGCCGCGGUAAUACGUAGGUGGCAAGCGUUGUCCGGAAUUAUUGGGCGUAAAGCGCGCGCAGGCGGUCCUUUAAGUCUGAUGUGAAAGCCCACGGCUCAACCGUGGAGGGUCAUUGGAAACUGGGGGACUUGAGUGCAGAAGAGGAAAGUGGAAUUCCACGUGUAGCGGUGAAAUGCGUAGAGAUGUGGAGGAACACCAGUGGCGAAGGCGACUUUCUGGUCUGUAACUGACGCUGAGGCGC